AAGUUUAGUAUUCACAUCCAUUGGUAUUUACAUAGGCUUGGGUGCUGACAAUCCUACCUCUGAGAUAAGUUCCAAAUAAUACUUUCUUUGGUUCACAAGAUUCCUGCUUUUGACCUGGCAAACUCAAUGCCAAAUAAGUGUUGUAGAUCACCUAGGUCCUUUAUUUUGAAGGCUUUGCCGAGAGAAUUUUUUGUCUCUUGAAUCAGUUUCAAGCUGUCACCAGUGACUAAGAUGUCAUCAACAUAGACCAAGACAAUAACAGUUCUUUCACUUGUUUUGUUGAUGAAUAAGGAAUGGUCAUGCUGACUUUGCCUAAACAUUAACUUCAAUAAUGCUUCUGAAAGCUUUUCAUUCUAUUGUCUUGGUGCUUGUUUAAGCCCAUACUAGGAUUUGACAAGUCUGCAUACUCUUGGAUUCUGUACAUUCUACAUACUCUUGGAUUCUGUACAUUCUUCCCCUGACUUGAAAAACCUUGUGGAAGGGUCAUGCAAAUUUCACCAAGUAGAUCACCUUGCAAAAAGGCAUUGUAUACAUCCAUUUGAUGUAUAUUAAAGUUGUUUGCAGCAGCUAAUGAGAGUAUAGUUCUUACUGUAACCAUUUUUACAACUGGAGAAAAAGUCUUUCGAAAAUCAAUACCUUCCCAUUGGCUAUAGCCUUUUGCCACCAAUCUAUCCUUGAACCUUUCCACCUCACCUGAAGCCUUGUAUUUAAUCGUAUAUACCCAUUUACAACCUAUUGGUUAUCUACCGAGAGGUAAAUCUGUAAUCUCCCAUGUAUGAUUGUCUUCUAAGGCUUGAAUCUCUUCUUUCAUAGCCUUGAUCCACCUAGGAUCUUCGACUGCUUGAGAGUAGUUGGAUGGUCCAGUCUCAGUUGAUAUGGAAGAAAUAUAGGCAUGAUACUUAGGAGAAACAUGCUGAUAUCCAUCGUAUUUGUUUAGAGCAUAUGGUGUAUCAGUAUGUAUGUUCAAGGAUACAAAAUUCUUCAUCCAUAUAGGAGGAUGCUUUGUUCUACUUGAUUGUCUGGUCUCAGUUGGUGGUUGAACUACAUUUGGUUGUGCUGCUUGUGGUAUAGGAUCAGCUAGGGGUUGAUUAUGUUGAUUCUCAGCAUUAGAAACCUCUUUAUUAUCAGUAGUAUGAUUCAUGAUGACAUCAAUGGGAUCAUGGUAUUUUAUAUGUGACUCCUCUAUCAUGUGUUGAGUAGUAUUUGGAGCAGAUAUUGGAAGAAAACUAUGCAGCUCAUUUGUCAUCCAUUGUGUCUCAGAUUGAUUGAUAGGAAAUAGUGCAUGAUUUUCUGUACUUUUUGCUGCAAAAGGAAAGAUAUCUUCUCUAAAACGCACAUCUCUGUUGACUAAGAAAGAAUUAGUAGCAAUAUCAAAUAAGACACAUUUUUUUUGAACCUCUGAGUAGCCCAUGUGAAUUGCUAUUUUUCCUCUUGUCAUAAGUUUAUCUUGCUCUUGAAGUAUUUUAGCAAAACAUAGGCACCCUAUUACUCUAAGAUGAUUUAAGACUUGGUUUUCUACCAUACAGUUUCUCAUAAGGUAACACAUUAUUGAUAACUGUACUUGGCAAUCUGUUUAUCAAAUAGACAGCAGCUAAAGUACGCAAUGUCCCGGAAACUUGAUUGGAAUUUUACCUUGAAAUCUAAUAGCCCUGGUAAUCUCCAAUAUGUGCCUAUGUUUCCUCUCAGCAACCCCAUUUUGCUGAGGGGUAUAAACACAAGUUUUAUGAUGAAUUAUGCCUAAAGAAACAAAUAAUUGCUCACAUAUUGUAUUAAGGAAUUCUGUUCCAUUAUUUGUUCGGAUAGUUUUCAUAGUCUCGUUAAGCUGAGUUUGAGCAAAUAUAAGAAAUGCUUAAGGGAUAAACAUACAUCUGAUAUUUGCUUAAGUAAAAACAACCAAGUCAUUCUAGUGUAAUUAUUAACAGUAGUAAGGAAGUACUUGUUACCAUCAAAAGUUGUUGUUUUAUAAGGUCCCCACAAGUCUACAUGAAUCAAAUCAAAUGAACCAGUACUUUCUAUGCUACUAGAAGGAAAAGGUAAUCUUGCUUGUUUAGGACAAAGGCAUACAAUGCACUUAGUUACACACUCUUUAGUACUUUGUAUACUAGCAGGUAACAGUUUCUUAAGGGCUAUAGAUGACACAUGUCCACAUCUUCUAUGCCAUAAGCCUAUAUCACAGUUGUUUUCCUCAGUGAUUGCCGCAUUUUCUCUUGCCUCCAUAGAAUUAUUGAGUAUGUUAUGAUUAGCAUUUGACAUAAGCAGAAUUGUUUAUGUCAAUUAGAUCCCAGAAUACACAGAAUUCAGGUAAGAACAGUGCAGAACAUUUAAGUUCUUUUGUGAUCUUAGAUUCACAUAAUAAGUUGAACUUAAAUGAGGUAUGUGAAAGACAUCAAAUAAUGUAUUUCUGUCUGAAAUAGAGCAUUUUCCUGUAUGAGUUGUGUUACAUCUCCAUUUGGCAAGCAAACUCUCUUUGAAUAUGUAAUUUUAACUACUGAUUUCUUAUUCAAUAGUUAAAUGUCUGAUACCAUAUGAUUAGUUGCAUAUGUGUCUAUAAUCCAUUCAUGCACACCAUCAGUUACUAUAAAGGACUUAGGCAUACCUGCAAUGUUUGUUGAAGGUGCUGAAGUGGAUGUGGUGUUUGAGCCUUUGUUCAAGAGUUGCAGGAUUUGUUCAUACUGCUCAUUUGUAGAAUAGCCUCCAAACUGCUUUGUCUGUUUUGUGGUGUCUGUCAUGUGCAUUUGAGAGUUUGAACUUUCACUUGCCUCAACAUUUGAGUAUGUAUUCUGAGGACACACAUUUGUGCUAUGAGCAUAGCUUAACUGGACUGGGCUGUAAAUGCUCUCCAAACUGUUGUGGAAAUUGUCCAAACUGUAUAGUUGAACCAGCAGCAGUACCACCAGCAUCAGAUUGACAUUAUAUGCUGCAUUAUUUCCUGGUCCUUUCCUUUUAAACUUAAAGUCUGUAGGAUAGCCAACCACUCGAUAACAAGUUUCUUUACUGUGAGCUUUCCUCUUGCAUACCUCACAUACCAGAUUAUAAUUCUUCUUGAACUUUUGAGGCUGUCCUUGUCCAUUUUGAUUCCUAUUGUACAUAUCCAAGUCAUGAUUGUUUACAGCAUUGGCCUAAUUAUUACUCAAAACACCAGAAGUAGCAGCUACACUCCUUUGACUCU